GGAGUUUUUAGCCUUUUAACAUUCAAGGAUUAGGUAAGUUCUUCCCGCGGUAGACUUCAAAUACUCUUUGUCCUGCCCCUGCUUGGCGAAAUUUACCGAAAUUAUCUACCUAUCCCGCUGGAGUGGGAGCCGGGGGAGAGCUGGAACCGCGUCUCUGCUGCUCACCUUUGUGUCCUUAGCUCCUUCGCAUGGGGUCCGACCGCAACACGUGCGCUGGAUAAACGCUUGUUAACUGGAGCUCCCUCUUUGCCCACUAGCAGGGCAUUAGCUGGUGCUGAAGACAGUGGCUGCUUGGCGAGCCUGGAUCUCCAAGUGACUCCAAGUGACCCCCUCAGCAACUCCUGAUGAACAGGACUGAAGCCAAUAUUAAAGCAAGUCAACCAAAGAUUCUCUGGUGUAGACAAGACAGCAAAAGGACAGACUACCUUGUGGAACCUAGCAUUGUUCUCCUUCUGCAGCACUAAGUAACAUUUGUGCUCCGUUAAGAUCUUUGCAAACCACACACAAGAAUUGCUGGUCAUCCUGCCAAUAGAUGCUGCUCACAGAACCAAAUUUCCUGUGCUGAAUUGUCACUCAUGGGCUUGAGAGUAGGAGACUGGAGACCAAGGUGGCUAGAAUCCAGUUGGGCCUGAUGUCUCCCUGUUGAAAGGGCUCCUUGUGGAAUAAACAGCACAUGGCUCCCGUGGUGGAUCUGAUAGUGGCACAGCACCAAGUGAUGCAGGCCUGCCAGGGGCCACAGACACAGAAGAUGCUCCCAGGGUCCCCCGUGUACUCCAGACACACUGCAGGCCACCUCUCCCAGCAGGUUGCCAGUCAUGGGCCCCAUCAUCAUGACUUCUGUCCAAGGUACUGUGUGCAGAAAUGUGAUUGAGAUUCAAGUCAGGGCCUCUCUGCCCUUUUCCCUCCAGAAACAAAACCAAGAUAAUUUAUCCUGAACACGGUGAAAAAAGGAAGGGAGGGAGGAGAAAAAGUCCGGGUCUCACCUGGGAUUCUCUGUCUCCUGCAACAUGAAGGAUUUAGCCUGGGAGGAGGUGGUGAGAACUCUGGGAGAGAAAAAAGAAGGAAAGAAUAGUUUUACCCAUGCUGAAGUUAAUUUAAACCUUCACCUAGAGAAGCAAAAAAACCCCCACACUUUUCCAUUUUGUGCCUCCCUUCCUAGAGUUUUAGCCAAAGGUUUAGCUAAGUAAUUGGUUUUACCAGGGCACUCACUCUUCCUAUCCCGAGUCUGUUUGACUCCCUCCCCAUCAUCCUCCUCACCUCUUUUCAGGCAGGGUGGGGAUAGCAGCAGGAGGAGAUUUUGGGAGCCUGGCAACUCCUGCAAGGACCGCAGGACAGCCCCUCUGUGGGGAUGCGUGGUGCCCCAUCUGCCGCCCUUCUGAAGAAUGCACUGCCUUCACUUUUUACUGUGUUAGAGUCCAUCCAGACUGUUCUAUCCAAAAAAGAGUUUCUUUUUCCCCCACAGGCAAUCAGGAAAUGAUUCCUUUCCCAACUGCUUCUGUCUAGUGCCUGGGAAUCUUGAGUCAAUCCCUCAGUAAGUCAGUGACUAUAGAAAUCCCUCUCUGAGCCUCCCAGUUCAUGUUGCUUAGGGAACCUGAUAUUUUCAUGAAACCUGCCUACACAUGGGCAGCCCAACAGCAGAACAAAUGGUGGUGACCAAAGUGAACAAAGAAGUAUAGUUGUGCCAGCUUCGUAGUUGCCCAUGUGGACAAGUCAGCAGGAUCAGGACACGAGGAAGAGUAAAUGUGAGACAGUCAAUGUGACUUCUGCGAUAAACAGAUUUUUAAACCCCGAAAUUUUGCAAAAUUUUGGUGAAACCUGAACUUUCUUCGUUGCAUAUACUGGCACUAUCUGUACCAUCAUACAACUGUCUCACAUUAAAGCUAUUUUUCUUGGGCACUGAUGAGCAAGGUUGGUAUGUUUGAGUUCCUCAGAUCAACAAAAACCCAUUUUCCUAUAAGUCUUACAUUUAGUAUUUAAGGAACUAAAACUUAAAUACAUUUUGUGAAAUGGUUGACACUUCACUGAUAAUGAUUUAUUGCUUGGAUUAAUAAAUUUUCCAAAAGUUGUCUUAUUAUGUAGAAUAUGGUUUGCAACCAGCAGAACCAUUAAUCUAUACUGCAAUGAUAUGCACUAUGUAUAAUUGUUUAAAAGCCUCUACUUAAUGAUGUAAAAUGCUCUAUUUAAUUACACAUUUGGGUAAACUGUAUACUAACAUCUGAUGGCAUUUUUCCACUGUUUGUUGCUUUUUUCAAAUACUUUAUUGUACAAAGCUGUUCUUAAUAUUGUUCAAGUUUUUUUUCUUUGAAUUUUGCUAAUGUUUUCCUUGAAUUAUGAGCACUGACAGAAUGUGCUUAGCACUUUUGGCUAUUCACACAGCUUUUGAGCAUGAUUUGCAUCCAAUAUUUACAUUGCUAGCAAUAAUAAGCCAUCUGUGAGUUUUGUCAAAA
rnacentral:antisense_RNA from 1 species